rnacentral:rRNA from 1 species
AGAUAGACAGCUGAAUGAUAGUCGGGCUGAAGACUCUACUUGACUAGCUGAGAGGAGGUGCAUGGCCGUCGUCAGUUCGUACUGUGAAGCAUCCUGUUAAGUCAGGCAACGAGCGAGACCCACGCCAACAGUUGCCAGCUCGUCCUCCGGGAUGGUGGGGACACUGUUGGGACCGCCUCUGCUAAAGAGGAGGAAGGAAUGGGCAACGGUAGGUCAGCAUGCCCCGAAUUAUCUGGGCUACACGCGGGCUACAAUGGGUGGGACAAUGGGUAUCGACACCGAAAGGUGAAGGCAACCUCCUAAACCCAUCCGUAGUUCGGAUUGUGGGCUGCAACUCGCCCAAAUGAAGCUGGAAUCUGUAGUAAUCGUGUCUCAAAAUGGCACGGUGAAUAUGUCCCUGCUCCUU